GUUAAAAAUUUAAACCUAGAUUAUUAUCAGUUAAGUUCUUGAAAAUUAAAAAAGAUGGCGGUAUUUUAGUCUAUUCAGAGGAAUCUGCCCUGUAAUUGAUAUUCCACGAUUUUAAUUACUUAUGGUUUUAGCUUAUAUAUCGCUGUGAGUUGAAUAUUUUUAUUGAAUGUUAAUAUUCAUGAUUUUGAGGGAAAGAAUAUCAAGUCAAGAUGUAGCUUAUAAAUAAGAUAGAGGUGGAUUACAGUAAAUUUAUUUUUGGUCAGUUUUCUGUGAUGGGAAUUGUAAAAUGGAUUUGAGGGUAAUUUUUUACUAAAAUUUGAUGGAUGAUUAAAGCUUAAAAU
rnacentral:rRNA from 1 species